UACCUGGUUGAUGAAAAUUAGAACUAAGGCUGUGAAUUUACCUGUAAGGAAGACGGAAAACCUGGCGUGGACAUGCUGAAUUUGCAGUUUUGGACAAAUUCUCCCCGCCUCCAAGGGCAAAAGUAUAUGAUAACUUUUCUGAAAAGUUCUCACUAUUCGAGACUGGCCUGAUUUGAAGAGAUUCCAGUGGCAUAAGUGUCUGUUUAUGCAAAGUCCUAUGCAUGCUGAAUUAAUUUACACUGACCGAUCUUAACAGGUGUGCUGUGCCACCUCAGCUUUCAUCUGCUUCUGUACUCCUGAAGUUGAACCUUCCCUCUGAAGUGCUGUUAACUAAGCCCUGUGAGGGCCCCUUGGAGCCCCUUCCUCCCUGACAGUCUCAGCUCUCGGUUCCACUCCCUCUUUUCCUCUUGUACGAGUUCCUCUCCUAAGUGCAAUCCUUUCCCCAACUGUUAUUCCCGGCCAUCUUUCGAGAUCCCAUGCACAUCCACGAUUUCAGCUGUCUUCCUCUGGAGAAAGCAGUGCCGUCAAACAGAAGGAUUCCUGUGUGUGUCUGACUUGGUCACUGUUGGUCUGGAGAAGGCAACUCAGACUCUGGAUUAUGGUCACAACACAGCUUCCUGCACUGAAAGCCUUGCUAUAAAAACAAAACCCAAAAAACAGUCCACAGACCUAAACACUGCCUUCAGUGAUAUAGAUUAUUUAUGUUCUUGCAAACUGACCUUGUGGCAACACUUGGAUGACACUGGUCCAGAGCUCAGGGAGCCUUUCUGGGUGAACCUGGGGGUUUCCACCCUUCCCCACACCCAAGCCUCACAUUCCAUAAAGG